rnacentral:lncRNA from 1 species
UUUCUUUCUUUCUUUCUUUCUUUCUUUCUUUCUUUCUUGACAUCUCUAGCCUUUCUUCUCUCUCUCCCUUCCCCCCUCUGUCCACAUGGCUAUGGCUGGGCUCUCUCUUUCUUUUAUCUUCUCUCUUUCUCUCUGCCUUUCUACAAUAAAGCUCUAGAAUCAUAGACCAUCUCUGCUCAUAAAGGCUUGAACUACUUGGAUGAUGGGAUAGGCUUUCCCUUAAAGGCCUCCCUGCGCUCCACCCAUGGACUGGUCAGAAGACUCUUGCCAGUGUGGCAACCACCUAGCGCACCCUCUCUCCUUGUCCUCUCCUCUCUUCGGCCCCAAGGCUAGCUGAGCCACUCACCGGGUCCCCACUUUGUUCUCAGCUCUUCUGUAGUGUCCAAUGGUGUCUGGGAUGCCCAAGACUGAGAACCUGUUAACUCUUGCCUCCAUGAGGCCCAGAGACCUCAGACUGCCCCUUGCCCACCCCCUGCAGCCUGGGGUCUGUAGCUUCCCACAGCCAGACACCCACCAGGGCCUCUGCAUCUGCCUGCCCAGAGCACCAAAACUCUGGCGGGAUGCCAGUUUUCUCCCACUCUCUUUAUUCCCCCACACCUGCUGCCCUACAAUAGAGAAAAGAAAAAAGCUUGAUGGACUCUACAGAGAAAUUAAGGAAUGGAAAGUUCCUGUUUUGAAAGUGUUUAGAGAAACCACAUGACCAGAACUGGGCUAGGUGUAGUGGGAGGGUCUAGGAGAGCUGUUCUAAUGAUCCAGGCCAGACAGAAAUAUCCACCAUUCCCUUUUGUACCAGAGCAGCCAUGUGAUCCCUGGCAGGUGUUGGUUACCCUGGCAUUGUUCUUUAUAAAACACUGAUAAUUCUCCUCAGAAGAACUUUCCAGCCUGGUAUCCUGAGAAAAUCAGCAGUCAGCAGUGCAGUGGCUGGAACCACAACCUAGCAGCCCUACAACUUCCAAGGUCAGAGAUGCUUCAGGGCUGGUAUAAUCAUGGUCAAUGAUUCAUUGAAGAAUGACACCCCAAACUCAAAUAUUAUGUAAAUGCAAAGAGUGUUUUGUUCUGCAGAAUUUUAUAACAUCCCACUUGGGGGGGGGGUCCACCUGGAAGGAUGCCAAAGGAAAUGAUAUGUUGGAACCAGUAUGUUGGAUGGCAAGCUUGGGGUCAGGUGAAUGAAGGAGAGCAAGAAAAAUAAAGGCUCCCCCUGUGGCUGGAAGAUGUCUUCCAAAUAAGGGUACAGGACAGUUUGACAUAACUAGAAAUGAGUGACUGAGAGAAACACCCCUGAAUAUGUAACUGAGUAGUGCAGUCUGGUAAUGCUGGGCCCCUCUCCUGACAAUAAAUAAACAAGUAAAGGUGCAGACUUUUAUAAAAUCCCACUUGGGGGGUUCCACCUUGGUAGGAUGUCAAAGAAAUGUUAUGUUGGAACCAGUAUGUUGGGUGACCAGAAGGAGGAAAGGGCUAGCAAGUUUGGGGUCAGGUGAAUGAAGGAAAGCAAGAGAAAUAGAGGCUCCCUCUGUGGCUGAAAACCCAGCACUCAGGAGGCAGAGGCAGGCGGAUUUCUGAGUUCGAGGCCAGCCUGGUCUACAGAGUGAGUUCCAGGAUGGCCAGGGCUAUUCAGAGAAACCCUGUCUUGAAAACAACAACAACAAAAAACAAACAAACAAACAAACAAACAAAAUCUCUUUAAGGAUACAGGACAGGUUGACACACCAGAAAAGAAUGACUGAGAGAAGCACCUCUGAAUAUGUAACUGAGUAGUGGGGUCUGGUAAUGCUAUGCCCCUCUCCCGACAAUAGGUAAACAAGUAAAGGUGCAUCUGCUCUUUUUUUUCCCUUGAUCUGUGUUUUCUUUUUGUAGUCCUGUCUGUCUUUGAACUGUAGAAUUUCCAAUCUCUGAUUGGAAGGGUGAGUAUAUGGGGUGUUAAUACUACGGAGCAGGAGCAGGAAACCUGCUAAAGAAGGCAGAAAUGUAACUCUAUGAUACUGGACCUGAUAUUAACUCAAUUAAAAAGGUAUAUAGACAUAAUGCAGCAUACAAUUGCAGACAUGAAAUGUAUCCAGUCUUCUUUAAUAUCUUUUCUUUGAGUGAGAUCCUCUGCAUCAAUCUAAAGUUACCUAUCUGAAUGUGGGUGGGAGGUUACUUAUUGAAUUCUGGGCAACUCCUUAUUGGUUCUAUCACUGGAAAAAUGUUACCUUCCACAUUUUGCUCUGAACUGUCAGUAGACAUUUAGGGAAGGUCCAAAACUCAGAGGCCCCUUUUCUCACUCAGACUUGAUAAACUGUUGUUCUUCCCAUGUGGGGCAUUGGGCUAUACACGGACAGUCUGGUGUCCAGUUGAGCUGAGGUCUGAACCCCAGAGUGGUGAUAAUUCACCUACAUGGCACUGUAGGCAUUCCCUUGUGUCUCCUGGAACUCUGGCUCCAGUUGAAAUUAGUGCCCCUACAGCCCCCACAGGAGAAGUAUGGCUUUUAGUCACGUAGGCAAUGUCCCAAGCUUCUGACCUUCAGGCUAAACUCAUCCUAGUUACCUAGCAACAGUAAAGAUAACAGCCCACCAUAAGAGGGGCUCCUUGGCCCCACCUAGCUCUCUUACUCCCCUUACUCUUCUUACUCUCCUCACUCCACUUCUCUCCUCUCACUCUCUUACUCUCUCUCCCUCUUGCUCUCUCUCUUUUACUCCAGCCUUUCUUCUCUCUCUCCUUUUCUGACUUCUCUCCUCUUGGCCAUGGCCGGCCUAUCUCUCUCUCUCUUUCUCUACCUUCUCUCCUUCCUCCCUGCCUUUCUACAAUAAAGCUCUAAAACCAUAGACUGUCUCUGUUUAUCAAGGCCCGCUGCGCUUGGAUGAUGGGAUAGGCUUUCUCCUAAUGAGCCAUAUCUAAUCUCCCGAUAGAAGGCUUUCCUGUGAUCCAGUCAAGGCCUGGACUAAGGACUCUUGCAUGCAUGAGAACCUCUCUCCCUCUGCCCUCUCUCCUAUAACCCUGGGGCCCGAGGGUGUUGCCCCAGGGCCCCUGGUUUGAGGGGCUGCCCCUUGUUCAUCCCCCGUCGAGUGGGGUCAGUGGCUUAGAUGUCCACCUGGUUUCCAGUCGAGGCUAGAUCUUGAACCCCGGGAGAACCUGACUGGUGGUAAUUCUCACCUACAUGGGACGGCAGGCUUUCGAUCAUGUCUCCUGGACAUCAGGCUCCUGUGCAUAGCCUGUUGCCCCACAGUCCCAAUCUCAUCAGGAAUUAGUUGUGCAGAUGAACACAAAUGCAUAUUCAGCCCAAAAGUAUGUUCACUGCAUUCUUCUCCAUUCUCUGGCUCUGGCCUUUCUAUUUUUCCGUGAAACAUCAACAAGAAAAGGAGCUUUAAUUCAGGCAAUAACUAAUCCUGACAUCAGGAGUCUGUACAGAUGUUUGGAGUUCCCUGGUGGUUAGUGAAUACUCACCAAUAACCUAAAUUACCUUUGCUUCAUCAUCAUUGAUAUACCAAUGCCACAGUUGAGGCACAUUAACAUUUAAUCCUUUGUAAACUAUAAAACAAGACUCUAUUAUAGGCUGUAAUUGCUAUUUUUGGUUGUCAAGAUGAGUACUACUGGAAUUAACUCUAACCUAAAUGACUGCACACUUAUGUGAGGAAUUUUUCUUGAUUCAACUAUGCAUAGAAUAUUAAUUCAGUUCUUUUGAUGUGGGAAUAUCCACUUCUUCCUAUUUGUCUUUCUGUGGCUGAAAAGUUUGUUCAUUCACUGGCAUUAGAGCCAGGUUCUUUGGGAUUGUAAUACAUACUACAGCUAUUGGAACAUCCAGCCUCACAGACUGAACAAUUACAGCAUUCUCUGACUUUGCAUUGGUAGACAUAGAUCUUUUACACUGGUUAGUCAGAAUAUUGUAAGACACUGUAAUAACUGCUCUUCUUGUGUGUGUGCAUUUAUGUACUGAAAUCUAAACCAGAUUCAUGCAUUCCUUUUGUUUUCUUCAUUUAACGACACUGGGUUGACUAAUGUCUGAAAAUUUUCUUGUUAUUUUCAUAUGACCCAAAAUAAACUGCUAUGUUCUUUCCUAUGCAGUUGUAAUUAGACUAGGUAUACCUAUACAAUACAGGAGAAACUUCUAAUUUCCACUUCUGUCAUCUAUUCAUAUCUGUAAAGUCACUACUGUUUUUAAUUUUCACUUUACUAAAUCUACAUUCUCAUCUCAUACAAUAAAAUCCGAAUAUAUUUUUCCAUCCCACAUGGAGGCUGACAGACAUCCAUAACUUAAUUUCCAGAGAGCUGUUGCUAACCUCAAUUUACAGCAUGUGCAAAUACAGAGUACUUCAAACAUGUUGAAAAACACUGGUUCCUAUCAUGUGAAAUUCAAACUCCAAAGAAAAAACUUAAUAAUAAUGAAAGUGUGAAGGAGACAUAAGAAUGCUUUUGCCAUAUUCUGUUUCUCUAGAAAUGAUUCUCCAGCCAUCAUUCUCAAUCUUUCUAAGGCUGUACCACUUUAGUCCUGCAACCUUUAUUUCAGUUCCAGGUAUGUAUAUGUGUAUAUGUCUGCAUGUGAGCAGACCAUACUGGAAAUGAACAGAGGAGCGAUGUUUCAGUUCUUAACACCACUGGAAAUGUGUGUUUUCCAAUGGUCUUAGAAAAUCCUUGUGAAAGCGUCAUUCAGCCCACAACUCGCUCCGAGGAUCAAACCCCACAGGUUGGGAACAGCUGUUCUAGAGUCUUCUAAAAUGUAUUAUUUAUUACUGUUCAUGAUAAUAAUGACACUCCCAUUCUUUUCAUCUCUUUAUUUUGUCUUCACAUCAAUACAAAUGAUUUUCAUUAUGUUUAGCCUCUUGUAAAAUCAGGAAAAUUUGUAUCUCUAGGUUUAUUUUCUGGAACUUCUACCUUUGAGAGUUUUUGUAGUUUCUAUAGGUUCUAUUCUUUAAUGAUCACAUUUGCCCUUUCCUAAAAUGAUGUUCUCAGGACUUAGAAUCUCAGAAGUGUUUUAAGUCUGUUUUUAAUGAUUUCCCAUUGAUAUCACCCGUGGCCUUUCUUCAAGCCAAUUCUCUUGUUUUCAUUGCUAUAAUUUCAAUGGAUUUCAAAACCUUGGUUUGUUCUUCAGAAAAAAUUUUUUUUAAUUCAGUAGUUCCUCAAAAUCUCAUACAGACUCAGCAUUUUGUUAUGUUAUGCAGAAAUGCUCCAUUCCUGGUGAAAUGGCUUGUUUAGAAUUCCUACCUCAGAGAAAGUCUGUUUUUGCUUGUUUUGCUUUAUCUGAAUGAGAACAUGAAAGCUGUCAGUGUUUAGAUGUCACAUGCAUUUUUCAAUAUCCCAUUUACUUUUCUGUUCACAUGCAUGUUGGUCAAUGAUUAAUUCCCUUUUUAUAAGAAUGUACUAUAAUUACUCAUUUCAUACUGAACCACAUAUGUAAUAUAGUUGAAUCUCAUAUAGAUUGUUACUUCUGUGGUUGUUGAAAAUAGCUGUGCACUGGUCAUCAUGGUGGCAGAAGUAACUUGGAUUAAACUGACAUAUUUUCUCUAUUUCCUAUCUUUAGUCUCUAGGAAUUGUUGUAGAGAACCUUGAAUGUGGACACUGACAUAGCAGAGAGGGGAUUUCAGUGCAUAUUAGGUGGGCAUUUUUUUCAUGCUGUACAGUAUCGAGCAUUUUUAAUAUAUGCUUAUUAUCCAUCGGAACUGUCUUCUAGCACAAGCUUUUCAAAUCAUAUGCUUCUUCAUUGAACUCAUUUAUUUGCAUCAUGCCCCCUUUGUUUAUGUUUUACACAUUCUGUAUUGUAUCAUUCCAUGAAUAGCAGCAUAGUAUAUCUGCUCUAUGGGGUUUUUUUCAUAAUUUUGAUUUUUACUCUUCUGUAUGUUUUAAGCUGCUCAUUCUUUUUAUCAGCUAACUCUUCUAGGAAUCAAAGAUUGUGAAUCAUUAGAUACUGGGAAAGAAUUAAGUCCUGUUCAUAUUUUUUUUAUCUGAAUAUAUACUUUUCCUGUGACCUUUGGUUGACGAGAUUGCCUGUUAGGUAACAUACUUGUGGUAGUUUAGUGAUAUUCACAUGGUCAUUACUAUGCUUGUCUUUCUGGAUCGGCAGCUCUAUUGCCUGUAUAUCUACCAUGCUGAGAGGUCCAUGUUCUGGUGAUCAUUUGGUUCUAUAUAUAUCUCAAGUCACAGUUGGGAUAAUCUAGUCUCUGCCCUAUGUAACUGGGGAUGCUCUGUGUACUCCAUGUUCUUUCUUAUAAAAUUAGUUUUCUCCUGAGUAUUUAUAGUCUGUAGUGUAUUGUGUGUUCCAUAGAUAACCUCCCUAUUGUUCUGCUAACCCAAUCUUUGGGCCCACUUGUGUUGUUUCUUGGGGUUUAAGCCAGCCUAUAUAGAUUUCUUCUUCAUGCUAAUACAGGGAGCACUUACCUAUUCUCCAUGUGUCUCUAGUCAUGAGUCCCUGAAUUAACUGUUACACAUUGCAUGGAAAUGUUCUCUGAGACAGGAUGAAAGCAGCUCCAGGUUAUGUUUUGAACAGAACUAAGUAAACCAACUGUGAGUAUUUGUACAAGUAGCAAAGGGUUGUGAGUUAAUGGCCUACUCUGACCUGUUUAACCUGUUAGCCAGGAUUCCUGUGAAUUGUACAUAUUUUGUCUGCUGUAGUUUGCUGAAAUUUUAAACAGAAAGCAUUCCAUUAUAUAGAAAACUGAUUUUAUACUACUACAGUAGUUUUGGAAACUGGGAAAGUAAACAUCCAGCUGUGGUCCAAGAAAGAACUUUUUUGUGCAAGGCUGAAACACAGGAUCAGCCAAUGUAUAUAUAAAAUCUGUUCAGUUAAACAGAGUGUUUUAUAUACUUCUGUCACCACUUCCAAACCUUCCCCACUUUCUAGCAAUCAAAAGUGACAUACAUUCUGACUAUCUUAAGUUCGUGUAAUACAUUUUACUGAAAAAUUUCAUAUGCAGAAAGUUUUUUUUUUCUCGUGAACAAAAUAUACCAGAGGCCACUUAUGCUCUUGAGAGUAUUAGUUUUAGUGAAGACAAAGUGGGACACCAACCAACUUGUUACUGUUCUUUCCUGGUACCUGUCACGGUCCAAUGCUACAUUAGUUUACAGAUAUACCAUACCAGGCAGCAUGGUAAUUUGGUUCUGGAGGUCCACAUUUGGCUAAGGUCAUUGGUGACUUUUCUCCCUUUGUACCUGGCACAGCAUUUUUUGCUCUAGCGAUGCUAUGAACAAUGCAUUUGUGAUACUUAAAAAUACUAUGGAGAGUUUUAGUAGUCUACUGUGUAUUCAUCCUCAUUUUGUUGAUAUGUAAAACACCAAGUUAUUUAGAGUUUGGCAUUUAUGGCUUAUGUCAAGGAUUAUCAGACUUGACCUUUCUUAUGGAAUUUUUAUAAUUUUUGAAGUUGAGAAUUAUAUUAAUUAUAAUUUGGAAUAAGUUGCUCUCAUGAAUCUACUUAUCCUUUUGCAUUAAGACUUUUUGCUUUGCUGCUAAACCUGGGUAAGUAUCGGUCCACUAUACGAAGUUAUCGUGGACAUAGUGGACACCCAUGUCUCUUUCCUGAGGAGAUUGGAUUCCUCCCAAUUUUGCUUAUUUUGUAAAAUGUUAAGAUUUGGCAUUCUAGUUUCUCCUUAGGUAUAUAUGUUCCUCCUAUUCUGAGAUUUGGGAAAACAACAAUAACAAUAGCAAAUGUUGAUUUUUUUCCAUAGGCCUUUCAUGGUUGUAUGCAUAGGUAACUGUUCACUUUGCACUAGUUUCUAUUCCCACAAGGAGUUAAAAUAAGGAUGUACUUUGCCUUUCCUGCACUUUGCUUUUGGUUUGUGAUUAUUUUUUUAUUCUUAUCAGAAACACCAGAAUUACUUAUUUACACAAGUAUAAGAACAAAUAACAGUCAUUCCCAGCUUGGAUCCAGAAUAAUGUGUUUAAAAUAAUCCACCACCACCCCAUACUUGGCUAUUUUUGUUUUUGUUUUGUUAUUUUCUUUUCUUUUAUGUGAAUGGCUCUUUUGACUUAAUGUAUUUCUAUUGAAAACAUGUGUCUGCUUCCUGUGAGAUCACAUGGAGCAUUAGAUUAUCUUACAGUAAAAUGAAAAAUGGUUGUGAGCCAGGAUAUUGAUGCUAGUAUUCAAACCCAGGUACUCUAGAAUAUCUGUAACUGCUCUUCCCCACUGCAUCAUCUUUCCAGCCACUACUUUGCUUUCUUUAUGUUAGGUACUCUAGUCAGGUAGUGUGAGAUUGAAUAUAUUUUGAAUUCUAGUUGGUGAGUCCCUCAAAACCAAGAAAUAUGGACAUAUUUAUGAACAUUUUGGUGGGCUCUUGAAGACUUUUAAGCUAUAUAGUCACUGGGAUAUUAUCCUAAUUUACAUAGAAAUCUGAUGAAUCAAGUUUUUGAAUCCUGUGUUCAUCAGUAUUAAGAAGGCAUUUUUCAAUCACAAAGGAUUCUGCUGGUGUUUUCUGGACAUGUAUUAAAUCACACCAUCAUUGAAAGGUAGAGUUGAGUAUUUUGCUUUAUUAAGUAUCUCUGUGCUUCGCCUAUUUUUACACCUAUUUUGUAGUGAGUUCAUUUAUUGUUAUUGUUGUUGUUCUUGUUGUUGUUACAUGGGUAUGAAUAUUUGUUCUUCAUGGACGUUUGUGUACCACCCAUGUACUAUGUAUAUAGAUGGUAGAAGAGGUCAUGGAAUAUCUUGGAAGUAGAGUUAUGUUUUGAGCUGCCGUCUGUUUGUUGGUAUAGAAAGCCCUGUAAUCUGGAAGAACAGCUUGUCCUCCUAAUCAUUAAUUAUUAUACCACCGCCCUGUAGCUAAAUUAAAGCUAUAUAAAAUACAGUUGAGAAGAAUGUGAGCUUUUGUAUUGAUACAGUGUCAAUUAAAUAAUGUACAUUUUUUCUUCUUUCUGAACUAGAAACCAAGAUUGAGAAAUACACUCUUUAUUUUGGAGACCUGUGUUUAAUCUGUUAAAACUCCUACUAGGGAUUUUGUGGCACAGUCUUUUUGAAUAUUGGUGGGUGAAAUGCUGUUCUUACUGAAGUUAUAUUCCUUAGGCUUUUUAAUCCAGAAGGUUUUUAGUCAUUGUGGCUGCUGAAUUAUGGUUCAUAUUGUUCUACUUUUCUUAUUUGGGAUAGUGCUUCCUUCUGUUUGACUUGAUGAUUCCUUCCCAGUUCUCUCAUAUUCAUUAUUGAUCACAUGAAAUAUACUACUACCUUUGUCCUCAUGGAUAAUUCAUGUCUGAUUUUUGGUGCAUAUUUUCAUCUGUUUAGAGUGUAGGUAGAUCCUUGUAUGAAAAACAUUUCUUAUUUUUUUACUACAUUCCAAUACACUUCCUAAAAAUCAAUUUUACCAGUCACCUUUUCUGAAUGUACUGUGACAGUUGAAAAUUACUUUCUUUCAGGGCUUUAAAAUGUAUCACUCUAUUCUCUGCUGACUUCAAAAUGUGGGGAAAUAUCUGUAACUACUGUAUUUUCUAAACCCCUGCUCAUGUUAAAAAAUAGAAGACAGUUGGAAGAUAUAUGUAUGUUGUUACAGCACUUAGAUGUGAGAACAGCAGAAUCUGUCUGGCAAAUUAUCCCAGGAAAUAGAAGAAGAGACUGCCAUGGUCUCCUACCAAUCAGGAGUCCCAGUGCCUGAGCAAUAUACAUAGGUAUUUGAAGCAGAUCUUGAUAAAGUAAGUGAUAGUGACCUUUGAGUGGAAGUCUCAAUAGUGCAGAAAGAUGUCUAUUCAGAAGUAGCUCAGUAUUUUAGGAACUGUCACUUCUGGAUUUUAAUAUAGAAGCCCUGGACUUAAUAGUGGAUGCAUGUAAAAAAAGGUUAUUGUUUACAUGCCAGAAUAUCCUGUUGUUCAACAUCCAUGAAAUGAGAAAUAUACCUUUCCAGUUAAAGACAGGGUCAAAAUUAAGUCAGGGAACACAUUUUGUUCCUACAUUUAGUAUGUCUGAAAUUAAAACACAGCAUCACUGGAGUAGGAAGUAUUGAUGGGUUUGCUACUAAAUUUGACGUUACUCAGCUUGUAUGUUGCAAGCAAGGAUCAUGAAGACAUAUGCCCUGUAAAAUGUCAUGAUUAUUUCCCUUGAAAUUUUAUGUAAUGCCAUGCUAAUAAUUUCUUAACAUCCUGAUGCUUACCACAAUUCUCCUCUGCAUGGAAUUAUAUAUACUGUAAAUUUGUGACAGCAUUAUAUUUAUUCCUGGCUCUCAAAGGUCUUUUUGUAUAUCUUACAGUUGUGAGUGAAUUUUCAAACACAUUCACUAGUAAUUUUCCUGAUUUUUUUCACUCAUCAUGGUUGUUAGAAUCCUGAUGGUAUAAUAUUCCAAUACAGUAUUUGCUUUUUUGUUUUCUUUGCUAUAAUGGCCAUUACAAAGCUCCUGGAGUUUACUUUCAUCCAUCUUUGUACCUCCCUCGUUCUACCACUUAUAAUUUGAAGAGUGGACUUUCCACCUUUAACUCCCAAGAGAGCUUGCAUGGUUACCCUCAUUAUUUCCUAUUCUCUCCCUCCUUUUGCAAAAUUUUAUCCCAAUCCUCCCUGUUAUAUUUCCUGUAUAUCUUGAGGCAGGUUUUUUUGUGGGUAGACUGGGUGUCAUUUAUUCAUAAUUAAAACUGCCCUUAUAUAUUCCACACAAAACAUAUCAUUCCAGGCUCUCCUGCCUGUGACAAUGUUGAAAAGAUUCCUGAUCAUUUUAGUUUCCGGGACAAUAUUUUGGCAUUGUUCAUGGGGAGUUUUAUUAAUUUUGACUCUGUGAAAUUUUGUCAGGAAUUCCAGUGUUUGUUCCUAAGACAGAAACUCAGAGCAGAGCAACAAGAAGAAUGACUGCUUCUUUGGUAAAUACACCCCAGGGUCUGUUAACAUUCAGAGAUGUGGCUGUGGAAUUCUCAGUGGACGAAUGGGAAUGUCUCAACUGUUUUCAGAGGGCACUGUAUGCAGAUGUGAUGAAGGAGAAUUACAGUAAUCUAUUGUUUUUGGAGAAUUUUCUUAAAUGUGAGAAGGUGUUGGAUCAAGGUACAAAGCACAUUGUCCACAAGCAUGUGAUUAUCCAAGAAAAGUCUUACAAAUGUAAUGAGCCUGUCAAAGUGAUUCAUGAAUCCUCACAAAUUACACAUUCCAGAACCAAACAUAAACAUGAGUCUGUCAAAGUAUCGAACCUAAACAAAAACAAAAUUGGGAAGACUGGAGUUGAACCUUGCAAAUUCCAAGACUGUGUGAACUGUUUGAAUGUGUGUUCCAUCAUUAGUCAAAAUGGAAGAAUCCAUAUAGGAGAGAAAGAACCUAACACUACAGAGCAUGAAAAUCUGUUUGAUUCAAAACAUAAACUCAUGCUGAAACAAAGUAACAGUAGUGGAAAAAAGACACACAAUUUCAGGAAAUAUAGGAAAUGCUUCAACAUGUACUCAGGUGACAGUAGACAUCAGAGAGCACAUACUAGAGAGAAAUCCUAUAAAUGUACACACUGCAGUGAAUCCUUUCUGCAUUUGUCACAGCUCAAACAACAUUACAAAAUUCAUUACGGACAAUGUCCUUGCAAAUGUGGUAAAUGCUUUUAUAAUAUAUCAGGCUUUAAAAAACAUGAGAGGAUCCACCCUCGUGGCAAUACUUACAAAUGCAGUCAUUGUGGCAAAUCUUUUAUCUACUACUCGCAAAUUAGAAAACAUCAGAGAAGUCACACAGGAGAGAAACCUUACAAAUGUAAUGAAUGUGAGAAAUGCUUUCCCCAGAAAUACCAACUUACAGUUCAUCAGAGAAUUCACACAGGAGACAAACCUUACAAAUGUAGUGAAUGUGACAUGUCUUUUAUCAAGAAUUCCAAUCUUAGAAGUCAUCAACGAAUUCAUACGGGAGAGAAACCUUAUGAAUGUAGUGAGUGUCACAAAUGCUUUACUCAAAAAUGCAGUCUUGUUAUUCAUAUGAGAAUUCAUACAGGAGACAAACCUUACAAAUGUAUUGAAUGUGACAAAUGCUUUACUGCAAAAAGCAGUCUUAGAAGUCAUCAGAGAAUUCAUGCAGGACGGAAACCUUAUAAAUGUAUUGAAUGUGACAAAUGCUUUAACCACAAAAGCAGUCUUAGUAUUCAUCUGAGAAUUCAUACAGGAGAGAAACCUUACCAAUGUAGUGCAUGUGACAAAUGGUUUACUCGGAAAAGAAGUCUUGUCAUUCAUCAAAGAAUUCACACAGAUGAAAAACCUUACCAAUGUAGUGAAUGUGAAAAGUGUUUUACUGAGAAAGGCAGUCUUAGAAGUCAUCAGAGAACUCAUACUGGAGAGAAACCUUAUAAAUGUAAUGAAUGUGACAAAUGCUUUGCCCAGAAAUACCAACUUACAAUUCAUCAGAGAAUGCAUACAGGAGAGAAACCUUACAAAUGUAGUGAAUGCAAAAAAUGCUUUACUGAAAGAGGAAGUCUCAGAAGUCAUCAAAUAAUUCAUACAGGAGAGAAACCUUUCAAAUGUAGUGAAUGUGGCAAAACCUUUACCCUGAAAUGCCUUCUUACAGUGCAUCAGAGAAUUCAUACAGGAGAGAAGCCUUACAAAUGUAAUGAAUGUGGAAAAUGGUUUACUGAGAAAGGCAGUCUUAGAAGACAUCAAACAAUUCACACAGGAGAGAAACCUUACAAAUGUAGUGAAUGUGACAAAUGCUUUACCCAAAAAAGUAGUCUCAGAAGUCAUCAGAGAAUUCACACAGGAGAGAAACCUUACAAAUGUAGUAAAUGUGACAAAUGCUUUACCAAGAAAUCCCAACUUACGGUUCAUCAAAGAAUCCAUACAGGAGAGAAACCUUACAAAUGUAGUGAAUGUGAGAAAUGCUUCAGCUACAAACGUGCCCUUAUAUGUCAUCAGAGAAUUCAUACAUGAAAUAAACCUUACAAAUGCAGUGAAUGCCACAAGUGCUUUACUGAAAAGGGCAGUGUUAGAAGCCAUGAAAGAAUUCAUACACAGAAGAAACCUUACAAAAGUAGUGAAUGUGGCAAAUGCUUUAUUGAUAAAGUCACUUUUAGAAGUCAUCAAGGACUUGAUGCAGGAAAAAUACCUUACAAAUGUAGUAAAUGUAGCAAAUAUGUUACCCAGAAAUAUGAUCUUAUGAUUCAUGGAAGAAUUCAUACAACAGAGAAACCUUAUAAAUAUAGUGAGUGUGACAAGUAAAAAGCUUCAAGUAAAAGCUCUCUUAGAAAACACCAGAAAAAUCACACAGGCGAGAAACAUUACUGGUGAGGUGAAUGGGACAAAUUCUUAACCCAGAAAGAGGCUUAGAUAUCAUCAAAGUGUUCAUACAUGAGAGAAACGCUAUGUGAUUGUUUGUAUAUGCUUGACCCGGGGAGAGGCACUAUUAGGAUGUGUGGACAUGUUGGAGUAUUUGUGGCCUUCUGGAGCAGUUCUGUCACUUUGGGCAUGACCUUUAACACACUCAUCAUAGCGGCCUGGAAGCCAGUCUUCUCCUGUUUGCCUUUAGAACAAGAAGUAGAACUCUCAGCUCCUUAAGCUCCAGGUCUGCUGAUAUACUGCCUAGCUCUCUCCUUGAUGAUAAGGGACUGAACCUCUGAACUUGUUGGCCAGCCCCAAUUAAAUCUUGUCUUUUCUAAGAGUUGCCUUGGUUAUGGAGUGUGUUUCACAGUAGUAAGACCCUAACUAAGAUACAUUGCAAAUGCUGUGAAUGUGUCAGUUGCUUUACCUAGAAAAGUCAUCUCACAGUUCACCAGAGAAUUCAUACAGGAAAGAAAACUUACAAAUUAAUGAAUGUGGCAAAUGUUUUACCUUUAAAGAUAGUCUUAGAAAAUAUCAGAUAAUACAUAAAGAAGAGAAACCUCAGGAAUGAAAGGAAUAUUGAACACUCUUUAUCAGGAAAGACUCUAUUAGAACUCAGCAGAGAACCGUAGGGGGAACCUUACAAAUGUAAUGAAUAUGACAAAUCUUUAUUUUAAAAGGUGUCUUCAAAUUCAUCUGAGAAUUGAUACAGGAAAGAAAUUUUACAAAUUCUGUGAGUAUGACAAGUCCAUUCCUGAGAAAAACUAUCUAAAAGGCAUCAGAGCAUACAUAUAGAAGAGCCUUACAAAUGUAGUUAAUGUGACAAAUCUUUUGCCCUUAAACCUAUCUUAGAAUUCCUUAGAGAAAUCAUACAGGAGGCAAACCUUACAAAUGAACUGAACAAUCUAUUGAAAAUAAAGACAAUUUUAGAACUUGUCAGAAAUAAAUACAGGAGAGAAGAUCAACAAAUUGAGUGACUGUGAAGAAUUUGUAAACCAAGAAAGACCAUCUCAGAACUCAUCUGAGAAUACAUACACAAGAGAAACCUUGUAAAUGUAAUGAACAGUGAAAAUCUUUGGUGCUGGCUAAUCUCUUAGAAUAUGUCAGAGAUCAUAUUAAAAUGAAAUGUAUGAAGAUUAUUUGUGUCUGUAUUUCAGAACUAAGAAUGCAUUAAAAAAAUAGUAAUGGGCCCUUCCAGUCUGAGCCAGUGCCCUGAGCAGAACUUGGGCACUAGCUCUGCACCCAGUCCUACAACAUCCAGAAACUUCAUUCCCAGGUACUCUAACAUGCCCAGGAUUAUAAGUGAGGAGGCCACAACUUCUGCCCCAACACCGGGAGUAACUGGGACCCUCGGGGUUCAGGGACACAGGAAUACCCUCUCACCUCACCCCACCCAGAUACUGGCACAGGUUCUUUCUGGUCUGAGCUGCUGCCCUGAGCAGGCCUUGGUUGCUAGCUCUGCACCCAGUCCCACAACACCUAGAGAAUGCUUGACUCUCAGGUGCUCUAACAUGCACAGGACCAUAGAACCUCAGAAGCUUGAUCAGGACCCCAGAGGCAGCUUGACUUCCAGGAGCUAUGACAAACCCAGGAUCACAGAAUCACAGGAUCAGAGACAGCUGGACUCUGAGGAGUUUUGACACAACCCGGAUCGCUGGAGGGAUAGGCUUCAGUAAGAGAUAGCAAGGGCAUGUAGCACAAGAGAUAACCAGAUGGCUAGAGGUUCAAGAACAUAAGCAACAGAAACCAAGUCUAUAUGGCAUCACCAGAACCCAGUUCUCCCACCAUAGCAAGUCCUGGAUGCCCUACCACACAGGAAAAGCAAGAUUCAGAUUUAAAAUCACAUCUCAUGAUGAUGAUAGAGGUCUUUAAGAUGGACAUAAAUAGCUCCCUUAAAUAUAGGGAACAAGCCAGUAAGUGGCACUCUUGUUCCUUCAGGCUCCUGCUCUCUUUAAGUUUGGGCCCUCACUGCUUUUGAUAAUGAUCUGUGACAUGGAAGUGUAAAUGAAAUAAACUCAUUCCUCCUAAGUUGCAGCAAUACCAACCCUAAUGAAAACAAAUUAGUACCAGGAUUGUGAGAUAUUGUGGUGAUAGAUUUCACCAUGUUUUGGGGAGGAGUAUAGAAGAACUUUGGACAGUUGUAUGAAGAACCUAUGGUGUCUGGUUAGCUGGAGCUGAGGAAUCAGGUAUGGUCAGUAGGAAACCAGAACCACUAAAGUGAAAGCGUUGCUUUGCUGGAACAAUUGAUGCUGAGUAGCUGGAGCUGCAAAUUUAGCUGUGAUUGAAGUGUAAGAGGUCAACAUCAAGGGGGUAAACACUUCUAGGAAGUAUUUUCUCAACAUCAGUACAUGCAAUUUGUAUUCAGAGGUAGCCAAGGUUGUAUCUCAAGCUGCCAGCCAAACAUGGUACUGUAAGAGUCACCCAUGUGGUUUUGAAGACAUAAAAGGAUUGUGCAGAGCAUCUAAGGCUGAGCACUGAGAAGCCAGCAGAGGCCAUUGGUGAAAGUGCAUCAAGAGUACCAAUGGAUUGAAGGGGUCCUGGAGAAAAUGUGAGAGUUUGCCACAUGAAAAGAGCCUAUGAGAGGAUACUGGUGUGAGCACAAACCAGUUGCAGUAGAAGACCCCAAAAUUUUGGAGAUGUACCAUAGAAUGACUACCAAGUACAGCAGUAGCUGUAGAGUGGAGCCCCCCAAAUUGUAAGAGACAAGCUUUGUGUGCUGUAGAAGGCAGAACAGGAUAAGUGACCCAAGCCACUUGGAGGAAACAAAAAAAUCCCUGUGGACCUGGGUAAAAUCUUGUGAAACUUCCAGGGAGUAAAGCCUGCCUAGCAGAAAUAGGCCCCUUGGAGUGUUCCUUUAAGAAGCAUAAUAAUUCAAACCAGUAUUUUCACUCAAAUAUACUUUUACACCUUAUCUUCAAUAAUGGACUCAGUUGAUGGCUUCGCAUAGACCUCCAAUAUCGGUACUUUGGAUUUGUCAGGAACAGUAGAAUCAAACAGCCUUGGUGAAGACCCUAGAUGAAAACAAUGUUGAAAGGUGGGAAGAACAUCUUCAGAGAAAAAUAAAGUAGCAUGUAGGGGUGGAAGGACCACACUGAAUAAGAGCAGAUAGAGUAAGAACUCUUCUGAUGUUCCAUUUUUUGUAUGAAAUACUCUCAGGAUCUUCCCCAUUUAGCAUUAUGUUGGCUAUUGGUUUGUCAUAUAUAGUUUAUAUUGUUCUGAGAUAUGUUCUUUCUAUAACUCAUUACUUAAGUGAUUUUAUUAUGAUCAUGUUGAACUUUGUCAAAUGCCUUUUACAUCUAUUAAAUGAUCAUAUAAUUUCUGUCCUUGAGUUUGC